AGAGUUUGAUCAUGGCUCAGAACGAACGCUGGCGGCAUGCCUAACACAUGCAAGUCGAACGAGACCUUCGGGUCUAGUGGCGCACGGGUGCGUAACGCGUGGGAAUCUGCCCUUAGGUACGGAAUAACAGUGAGAAAUUACUGCUAAUACCGUAUGAUGUCGAGAGACCAAAGAUUUAUCGCCUAGGGAUGAGCCCGCGUAGGAUUAGCUAGUUGGUGGGGUAAAGGCCUACCAAGGCGACGAUCCUUAGCUGGUCUGAGAGGAUGAUCAGCCACACUGGGACUGAGACACGGCCCAGACUCCUACGGGAGGCAGCAGUGGGGAAUAUUGGACAAUGGGCGAAAGCCUGAUCCAGCAAUGCCGCGUGAGUGAAGAAGGCCUUCGGGUUGUAAAGCUCUUUUACCCGGGAAGAUAAUGACUGUACCGGGAGAAUAAGCUCCGGCUAACUCCGUGCCAGCCGCCGCGGUAAUUC
rnacentral:rRNA from 1 species